rnacentral:rRNA from 1 species
AUACGAACUGUGCAAACGUUAUUCGGUAUCACUGGGCUUAAAGGGUGCGUAGGCGGGUUUGAAGGUCUGAUGUGAAAGCCCACGGCUCAACCGUGGAAUUGCGUUGGAAACCACAAGCCUUGAGGGAGUCAGAGGUGAGCGGAACUAAUGGUGGAGCGGUGAAAUGCGUUGAUAUCAUUAGGAACACCGGUGGCGAAAGCGGCUCACUGGGACUCUUCUGACGCUGAGGCACGAAAGCUAGGGGAGCGAACGGGAUUAGAAACCCUAGUAGUCC